UACAGAGGUCCCAAGCGUUGUUCGGAUUCACUGGGCGUAAAGGGUGCGUAGGUGGUGAGGUAAGUCGGAUGGGAAAGCUCGGAGCUCAACUCCGAAAUGGCAUUGGAAACUACCUCGCUCGAGGGUUGGAGGGGGGACUGGAAUACUUGGUGUAGCAGUGAAAUGCGUAGAUAUCAAGUGGAAUACCGAUGGCGAAGGCAGGUCUCUGGGCUGACACUGACGCUCAUGCACGAAAGCGUGGGGAGCAAACAGG
rnacentral:rRNA from 1 species